GGGAAUCUUCCACAAUGGGCGAAAGCCUGAUGGAGCAAUGCCGCGUGAAUGAAGAAGGCCUUCGGAUCGUAAAGUUCUGUUAUUAGAGAAGAACAAGUCAAGGAGUAACUGUCUUGACUUUGACGGUACCUAACCAGAAUGUCACGGCUAACUACGUGCCAGCAGCCGCGGUAAUACGUAGGUGACAAGCGUUGUCCGGAAUUAUUGGGCGUAAAGGGAGCGCAGGCGGUUGGAAUAGUCUGAUGUGAAAGCCCACGGCUUAACCGUGGAAUUGCAUUGGAAACUGUCCAACUUGAAUGCAGAAGAGGAAAGCGGAAUUCCAUGUGUAGCGGUGAAAUGCGUAGAUAUAUGGAGGAACACCAGUGGCGAAGGCGGCUUUCUGGUCUGUGAUUGACGCUGAGGCUCGAAAGCGUGGGGAGCGAACAGG
rnacentral:rRNA from 1 species